GACGUCCUCGAUGGGGAACUUGUAAUCGUAGGUGAUCUCCUCGUUGACGCUGAUGUGUUGCUUCGAGUAGAUGACGAUCUUCUUCUGCGACUCCACCGUGAUCACCUUGGCGUAGCAGUUGGGCUGCGGCAGGAGAGGAGGAGGAGGAUCUCACAGACUCCCAGGAAGAGUCUCUUCUGGUCCCUAAGGCACAAUGACCAAGUCACAGCUGUGAGAGCGAGGACGCGUACGGGGCUGGCCGUGUGAGCACACACCAAGGACCGUCACGCGGAACUCCACAACCUCUGACGGGACGGCUGCCAUUGCCUCUGCUUCACCGAUGGGGAAACUGAGGCGCAGUGAUGCUCCCUGCUAAUGGCCUGGGAAGGCAGUGGAGACGGCCCUGCACCCAUGUGGGAAACCCAGAAGAAGCUCUUGGCUCCUGGCUUCGGAUCGGCCCAGCUUGGGCCAUUGCACCCAUUUGGGGAGUGAACCAGCGGAGGCAAGACCUCUCUGUCUCUCCCUCUCUCUCUCUGUAACUC